rnacentral:rRNA from 1 species
GACAGAGGAUGCAAGCGUUAUCCGGAAUGAUUGGGCGUAAAGCGUCUGUAGGUGGCUUUUUAAGUCCGCCGUCAAAUCCCAGGGCUCAACCCUGGACAGGCGGUGGAACUACCAAGCUGGAGUACGGUAGGGGCAGAGGGAAUUCCCGGUGUAGUGGUGAAAUGCGUAGAUAUCAGGAGGAACACCGGUGGCGAAGGCGGUUCUCUGGGAAUUACCUGACGCUGAGGAGCGAAAGCAUGGGGAGCGAACAGG